rnacentral:rRNA from 1 species
AUUGAACGCUGGCGGCAUGCCUUACACAUGCAAGUCGAACGGUAACGGGCCUUCGGGUGCCGACGAGUGGCGAACGGGUGAGUAAUGCAUCGGAACGUACCCAUCAGUGGGGGAUAACUCUCCGAAAGGAGGGCUAAUACCGCAUAUUCUGUGUGCAGGAAAGCGGGGACCGCCAGGCCUCGCGCUGAUGGAGCGGCCGAUGUCAGAUUAGCUAGUUGGUGGGGUAAAGGCCUACCAAGGCGACGAUCUGUAGCGGGUCUGAGAGGAUGAUCCGCCACGCUGGGACUGAGACAAGUCCCAGACUCCUACGGGAGGCAGCAGUGGGGAAUUUUGGACAAUUGGGGCAACCCUGAUCCAGCCAGGCCGCGUGAGUGAAGAAGGCCUUCGGGUUGUAAAGCUCUUUCGGCCGGGAAGAAAUCGCAUCUCCUAAUACGGGGUGUGGAUGACGGUACCGGAAUAAGAAGCACCGGCUAACUACGUGCCAGCAGCCGCGGUAAAAC